rnacentral:lncRNA from 1 species
GUCGACGGUGAUGGUAGAGGGAGUGUGAGGAGGCUGCAGCUAGGGAGAACCUAGUGCGGCACCUAGGAUUUCUGUUUUGUUUUUUUUCUUUUCCUUCUUUUUUUUCUAUUUUUUGAGUAUUAGGUUGCUUAGGGUUUUUUCUGAUUUGGGUCAUAUUAGGCCUGUUGUAAUUUUGGACUUUUUUUUUUGGGUUUUAUUUAUUAUUAUUGAGCUGGGCAGAAUUUGGGUUUUACAUAUACAAUAAGGAGUUUUCAAUCAUGAUACUUCUUGUGGAUUGACUCCAUGAUUAAGUAAUUUCGAAUUAUCGGAGUGAUGCUUCUAGACAUAAUUGCAAUCACUAAAGCCGAAUUGUA